rnacentral:rRNA from 1 species
CCUACGGGCGGCAGCAGUGAGGAAUAUUGGUCAAUGGGCGAGAGACUGAACCAGCCAAGUCGCGUGAGGGAUGAAGGAUCAAUGUAUCGUAAACCUCUUUUAUCUGGGAAUAAAGUCAGGAACGUGUUCCUUUUUGUAUGUACCAUAUGAAUAAGCAUCGGCUAACUCCGUGCCAGCAGCCGCGGUAAUACGGAGGAUGCGAGCGUUAUCCGGAUUUAUUGGGUUUAAAGGGUGCGUAGGUGGUCAUUUAAGUCAGCGGUGAAAGUCUGUGGCUCAACCAUAAAAUUGCCGUUGAAACUGGUUGACUUGAGUUGAUGUGAGGUAGGCGGAAUGCGCGGUGUAGCGGUGAAAUGCAUAGAUAUCGCGCAGAACUCCGAUUGCGAAGGCAGCAUACCAAACUCAAACUGACGCUGAAGCACGAAAGCGUGGGUAUCGAACAGGAUUAGAUACCCCAGUAGUC